AGUGAACGCUGGCGGUAGGCCUAACGCAUGCAAGUCGAACGGCAGCACAGUAAGAGCUUGCUCUUACGGGUGGCGAGUGGCGGACGGGUGAGGAAUACAUCGGAAUCUACUUUUUCGUGGGGGAUAACGUAGGGAAACUUACGCUAAUACCGCAUACGACCUACGGGUGAAAGCAGGGGAUCUUCGGACCUUGCGCGAUUGAAUGAGCCGAUGUCGGAUUAGCUAGUUGGCGGGGUAAAGGCCCACCAAGGCGACGAUCCGUAGCUGGUCUGAGAGGAUGAUCAGCCACACUGGAACUGAGACACGGUCCAGACUCCUACGGGAGGCAGCAGUGGGGAAUAUUGGACAAUGGGCGCAAGCCUGAUCCAGCCAUACCGCGUGGGUGAAGAAGGCCUUCGGGUUGUAAAGCCCUUUUGUUAGGAAAGAAAAGCAGCAGGUUAAUACCCCGCUGUUCUGACGGUACCCAAAGAAUAAGCACCGGCUAACUUCGUG
rnacentral:rRNA from 1 species